rnacentral:rRNA from 1 species
AGUGAACGCUGGCGGUAGGCCUAACACAUGCAAGUCGAACGGCAGCACAGUAAGAGCUUGCUCUUACGGGUGGCGAGUGGCGGACGGGUGAGGCAUACAUCGGAAUCUACUUUUUCGUGGGGGAUAACGUAGGGAAACUUACGCUACUACCGCAUACGACCUACGGGUGAAAGCAGGGGAUCUUCGGACCUUUCGCGAUUGAAUGAGCCGAUGUCGGAUUAGCUAGUUGGCGGGGUAAAGGCACACCAAGGCGACGAUCCGUAGCUGGUCUGAGAGGAUGAUCAGCCACACUGGAACUGAGACACGGUCCAGACUCCUACGGGAGGCAGCAGUGGGGAAUAUUGGACAAUGGGCGCAAGCCUGAUCCAGCCAUACCGCGUGAGUGAAGAAGGUCUUCGGGUCGUAAAGCCCUUUUGUUGGGAAAGAAAAGCAGCAGGUUAAUACCCCGCUGUCCUGACGGUACCCAAACAGUAAGCAACGGCUAACUUCGUG